GGGGAUGUAGCCCAAUUGGUAGAGUAUUUGCUUGGCUUGCAAGAAGUCCUGGGUUCCAUCCCAGCGUCACAU
rnacentral:tRNA from 1 species